GUAUAAUAAUAAAAAAAAAAAUAAUGAAGCCAUGCAUCUCUCCAAUUUGCCAGCAAUGUCUGAAAUUUCCGUGCUUAACCUAAUGGGUUAAUUGGAUCACUCUGCCAUCAUUGCUUCCAUUCAAAGGAGUAUUUUGCACAGCAUAAAAACAAAUUAAUUUGUAUCCAAAUAAUUUGACAUAAAUUGUAGGCCUCUCAACCUCAAUUUCCUUCUGGAUAAAACAGGCCUAGAUUCAGUAUCCACAUUUGUUGCAAGAAUAAAAUAAAAAUAUGUUUAUAAAAAAAAAAAAGAAAUGGUUGGACAAACAGCGUUCCAGCUGUUUUCCGCUAAGAGUCUAACACCACUUACGAUCUUCUAAAGUGGGAGGGCCACCACUGCCCCUCCCCCUGCCUAGUGUUGUUCAGAUGACAGUUACAAUAGAAUCAUUCUUCUUUUGCCAGAAGUGCAAAUUGUUUCCCAAAUGUGGCCUUGGGCUUUCAGGAGCCCGGUAGUGACUUCUGUGGUCCCUGAUUUGCACCCUCACCCUGUUAUUGGGGUUGUGCUUCAUUUCUCUCUGUGGAAAGAGUGAAGUAUUGCGAAGUAUGACCCUCGUCACCAAACCAACUCAGAGACAGCAAGUGCUUUGGCAAAGGAAAGGGCUGGCACAGAGAACAGAGUCGAUUUCUCAUUGUCUUCACCAAUCUUCUGAACACGUGAAUACUUUUUGCAUGAUGAUUUGAAGCAGCCAGGAGGCCAAGACAGCGGCCAGGAGAAGCAGCAAGGAAUUGAGCCUUGUACAUUUUUCUCAAAAAAAUAAAAGAUGGGGAACCACCAUGCUCGAGAUAAGAAAUUAGUCUGUGAAGACACCUUCAAGUUCUGCAAAUGGUAGAAAAAAAGUAAAAUGAGACAUAUCUUUCUCAA